GACGAACGCUGGCGGCGUGCUUAACACAUGCAAGUCGAACGAGACGAUUGAAAGCUUGCUUUUGAAAGUCGAGUGGCAAACGGGUGAGUAACGCGUAGACAACCUGCCUUUGAGAUGGGGACAACAGUUCGAAAGGACUGCUAAUACCGAAUGUUGUAUAUUUUCCACAUGGAAGAUAUAUUAAAGAUGGCCUCUAUUUAUAAGCUAUCGCUCAAAGAUGGGUCUGCGUCUGAUUAGCUAGUUGGUGGAGUAACGGCCUACCAAGGCGACGAUCAGUAGCCGGUCUGAGAGGAGUAACGGCCACAUUGGGACUGAGACACGGCCCAGACUCCUACGGGAGGCAGCAGUGGGGAAUCUUCCACAAUGGACGAAAGUCUGAUGGAGCAACGCCGCGUGAGUGAAGAAGGGUUUCGGCUCGUAAAGCUCUGUCGGGAGGAACGAAUGCUCCUGAGGUUAACAGCCUCGGGAGGUGACGGUACCUUCAAAGGAAGCACCGGCUAACUCUGUGCCAGCAGCCGCCGUAAAAC
rnacentral:rRNA from 1 species